rnacentral:rRNA from 1 species
AACGAACGCUGGCGGCGUGCCUAAUACAUGCAAGUCGAGCGAAUCUCAGGGAGCUUGCUCCCUGAGAUUAGCGGCGGACGGGUGAGUAACACGUGGGUAACCUGCCUGUAAGACUGGGAUAACUUCGGGAAACCGGAGCUAAUACCGGAUACGUUCCUUUCUCGCAUGAGGAGAGAUGGGAAGAUGGUUUCGGCUAUCACUUACAGAUGGACCCGCGGCGCAUUAGCUAGUUGGUGAGGUAACGGCUCACCAAGGCGACGAUGCGUAGCCGACCUGAGAGGGUGAUCGGCCACACUGGGACUGAGACACGGCCCAGACUCCUACGGGAGGCAGCAGUAGGGAAUCUUCCGCAAUGGACGAAAGUCUGACGGAGCAACGCCGCGUGAACGAUGAAGGCCUUCGGGUCGUAAAGUUCUGUUGUUAGGGAAGAACAAGUAUCGGAGUAACUGCCGGUACCUUGACGGUACCUAACCAGAAAGCCACGGCUAACUACGUGCCAGCCGCCGCUGUAAAAC